UGAACGAGAAGAACCUUACCUAGACUUGACAUCCUCUGCAUUACCCUUAAUCGGGGAAGUUCCUUCGGGAACAGAGUGACAGGUGGUGCAUGGUUGUCGUCAGCUCGUGUCGUGAGAUGUUGGGUUAAGUCCCGCAACGAGCGCAACCCCUAUUGUUAGUUGCUACCAUUAAGUUGAGCACUCUAGCGAGACUGCCUGGGUUAACCAGGAGGAAGGUGGGGAUGACGUCAAAUCAUCAUGCCCCUUAUGUCUAGGGCUACACACGUGCUACAAUGGCAAGUACAGAGAGAUGCAAUACCGCGAGGUGGAGCUAAACUUCAAAACUUGUCUCAGUUCGGAUUGUAGGCUGAAACUCGCCUACAUGAAGCUGGAGUUACUAGUAAUCG
rnacentral:rRNA from 1 species